GAUGAACGCUGGCGGCGUGCCUAAUACAUGCAAGUCGAGCGAACAGACGAGGAGCUUGCUCCUCUGACGUUAGCGGCGGACGGGUGAGUAACACGUGGAUAACCUACCUAUAAGACUGGGAUAACUUCGGGAAACCGGAGCUAAUACCGGAUAAUAUAUUGAACCGCAUGGUUCAAUAGUGAAAGACGGUUUUGCUGUCACUUAUAGAUGGAUCCGCGCCGCAUUAGCUAGUUGGUAAGGUAACGGCUUACCAAGGCAACGAUGCGUAGCCGACCUGAGAGGGUGAUCGGCCACACUGGAACUGAGACACCGUCCAUACUCCUACGGUAGGCAGCAGUAGGGAAUCUUCCGCAAUGGGCGAAAGCCUGACGGAGCAACGCCGCGUGAGUGAUGAAGGUCUUCGGAGCGUAAAACUCUGUUAUUAGGGAAGAACAAAUGUGUAAGUAACUAUGCACGUCUUGACGGUACCUAAUCAGAAAGCCACGGCUAACUACGUG
rnacentral:rRNA from 1 species